rnacentral:rRNA from 1 species
AUUGAACGCUGGCGGCAGGCCUAACACAUGCAAGUCGAGCGGAUGAAGGGAGCUUGCUCCUGGAUUCAGCGGCGGACGGGUGAGUAAUGCCUAGGAAUCUGCCUGGUAGUGGGGGAUAACGUCCGGAAACGGGCGCUAAUACCGCAUACGUCCUGAGGGAGAAAGUGGGGGAUCUUCGGACCUCACGCUAUCAGAUGAGCCUAGGUCGGAUUAGCUAGUUGGUGGGGUAAAGGCCUACCAAGGCGACGAUCCGUAACUGGUCUGAGAGGAUGAUCAGUCACACUGGAACUGAGACACGGUCCAGACUCCUACGGGAGGCAGCAGUGGGGAAUAUUGGACAAUGGGCGAAAGCCUGAUCCAGCCAUGCCGCGUGUGUGAAGAAGGGCUUCGGAUUGUAAAGCACUUUAAGUUGGGAGGAAGGGCAGUAAGUUAAUACCUUGCUGUUUUGACGUUACCAACAGAAUAAGCACCGGCUAACUUCGUG